UACGUAGGGUGCAAGCGUUAAUCGGAAUUACUGGGCGUAAAGCGUGCGCAGGCGGUUUUGUAAGUCUGAUGUGAAAUCCCCGGGCUCAACCUGGGAAUUGCGAUGGAGACUGCAAGGCUUGAAUCUGGCAGAGGGGGGUAGAAUUCCACGUGUAGCAGUGAAAUGCGUAGAGAUGUGGAGGAACACCGAUGGCGAAGGCAGCCCCCUGGAUCAAGAUUGACGCUCAUGCACGAAAGCGUGGGGAGCAAACAGG
rnacentral:rRNA from 1 species